rnacentral:lncRNA from 1 species
UAUAAAUAGAUGAAUAGUGUUAAAUAUAUGUGCUGGAUAAAUUACUAUCUACAUCGGUAAGAUUUUGUUUUAAUUAUUGUAUAAAAACCAUGCUUAAAUUUGUAAAUCAAUGACUGCCAAUAUGACACCGGUCAGAAAUUAAUUCAAACCAUUCUUCAUAUAAUAUCGAAGUUAUUUCACUGAUGCCAUUUCCUUCAAGCCCCGUCGUCGUCAGAUAAAAAAGUCGGUGAAGUAGAUAAUGAUACGUAAUUAAUUAACAAUGCAGUAGGUACAGUAUUGUAUUUAGUUUUAACCGAAUAGCUUUCUGACAACAACAUUUUGACCGGACGAUUAUGUAAAUUUAAUAAUUUAAGCUUAUUUGAAAAGGGUAUGAGGUAAUAGUCAAUCAGUCGGGAUCAACUAAAUAUUCAUGUAGUCAUUAUGCACAUAAAAUUCUAAACAAGAGUUUAUUAUGAAAUGACUUUGAAUAAUGUAAAAAAAACAUACACUUAGAUAAUGAUAUAUAUAUAUAUAUAUUUACAAAUGUAUGUGUUUGGGAAAUACAUUUUGUCAAUUGUUUAGAGACAAACUGAUUGUGUUAUAAAUAAAAUCAAUGAUUCAUAAAUCAAUGGGAAUGGCAGUUUUUUUUAGGAAUCCUAUCACAACACAGGUUACAGGAAAUGAAUUCUUAUAUAUUGUGUAUGCAAAUACGAUGAAAAGAAAACAAAUUAGAAAAAAAGAUAAUAAUAAACAGACACAUGCAUCUUAUUUUAUUUACGGAAGUGAUUUAUUGUUAUCGGAAUGAAAUGUCAAAUAUUGUCACACAAAAGCUAAUAUUAUUUAAUACAUUUCUGCAACUGAUAUUUAUUCAAGUUAACAUGAUUUUAUUUUAGUAUAAAUUCGUUAACUAUCGUUUCCAUUCGCCUUUUACAAAAUUGUUUUAUUCUAUUUACUGAUAAUGAUAACUGUGUUGAAAUUUGCGACAUUUUUUCUUUAAAGUAUCGAGAUUUAAAACUGUAUUGUUUAUUAUAAAUUUAUUAUAUGAAAUUUAUUUUAAAGGACACAUAUGUAUUAUGAACUACAUCAUCAUACAUACAUAUUUAUGCGUGUGAAUAUGUUUACAAUGUACACUUUGUUAACGUUUUAAGCAAAUCAAAUAUAAGAGCUACAUUUCCGAUUUAUAAAUAAUUUGAUGAAUCACAAUAAUAAAUGACUGACAGUGGUUUUAAUAUCAUAGCAUAAGAAGUUUCAUUUAAAAUUUUAUAAAAUGAAAUGAGAACAUGUUAAUUCGAAUAUUAUAUUUACGGAUAUUUCCAAAAUCUUCUUUUCUAAUUUUCUUGUCAUUUUUGUAUUACUGCCUUGAUAUUUUCGAAUUGCUAAUCCUUCUAAUGGAAAUAUUACCAUGAGUUGUCCGUUUUACAUUGAUUUAGUAGUUUAUAAAGCCCCGUGUAAUUUCCAGUUUUUUUUUCAGAUCAAAAAGCAAUAUUUAAGGGUAAUUAUAUAUUAUUAAUUCUGUUGUAUCAUUUUUUUGUUUCAUACAACUCCUUCUGCAUUGACAAAAUGAUUCCCAUUACAACAUGUAUGUAGUAUACAAAAUACUGAAGAUGUUGUGAUAUCGAUGUGAUACUAUAUAUCAAAUCAUUUAACAGAUAAUCCACUGAUAAGAAAAAUAAUUUGAAAAAUAAAAGAUUAAUAAAAUACAAUUAUAUGUGAAUCAAAGCUUUUGACUUAUUGAAAAUCAUUGUUUUAUAUUCUAAAAACUCUUUAUUCAACAGUGUUUACAGGAAAUUAUAUAUGUAUAAAUGUGUCGAUAAGUUAAUAAACUUUUUAUUUUCAGCCUACUACAUUUUGUUUAGAACUUAAUGUUAAGUAAUGGAUUCUAAAUUAAAUGAUAAAGAUUUCUGGACAGUGAAUUUUAAAUAUUUAAAACGCUCGGCGAGCCUCGCGUUUUAAAUUUGAAAAUUUAACUGUCUCGAGUGGAUAAAUAUCAUAUCACACGCGAUGCAGUGGUAGAAUCUAUAUAUAUCUCAUAUCUUAGUUGUUUCAUUGCAAUAUCAGACGGUUCCACUUGAAAAAAAUCACCAUUAUAUUUUUUUAUUUUUUAUUCGAUUUUAAGUGGAGUUGUAGAAGAUUUGUCUUUGAAAUGUCAUUCUAAUUAACCAGUACUAGAUUUUUUUAAUUACCGUUGAUUUAGGUGUCUACAAGCAAGACACAAUGAUUUGUAUUACUUUACAAUCCGUUUCCGUAUGUUGGCGGUUUUUUUUUUUGUGGCAGUUCAGUGGUUCUGUUGUUGCGUUUUUUUCUUCUUAUAGUUGACGUGUUUCCCUCGGUUUCAGAUUGUAACCAAAAUUAGUUUCAGUUAAAUCGAUUUUUUUACUAUUAACCAACGGUAUACCUCUAUUGCCUUUAUUUACCGUAGUAUAGUAUCCACUUUCCAAUAAACAAAUUUACUCAAUUAUCCCUCUUUCUGAUCGGAAUUGCUUGUAGGAAAAUCACUUACUGUUUUGGAACACAUAAUUAUUCCCAAUGAUAUAUUAUUAGAUGGACUGGUAGAGGAAUCAGCUGAAAUCCAACUUUUUUUCAAUUCAAAAUUAUAUGUUUAUAAUGAUUGUGUCUAAUUAACUGAUUGCAAUUUGUUGGUUUGUCGGAACUUGUAGCAAACGUUAUUCAAUGUUAUAGUGUAAAUUGUUGUUUCUGUAAAUGAAUAUAAAAUAUGCAAUGCAAAACAUAUACAAAGUUUACAUGUAUGGUUUCUCAAGUUUUUCUUUUGAUAAAGUAUUUGUUUAAAAAUCAUGUAAAAAUAAUAGGAAUCCUGCAGUUGUGAUCAUGUUAAUUGUUUAACUGUAGUUCAAAAAAUCAAAAUUAAUUUUAAAAAAUCGUUCGUUUGUCAAUAUAUAAAAGUAGUGUUAUUUACAUCCUUGAGCAGUUUAUAAAAUAACUAAGUCGUAUGUGGUACAUGAAUUUUAUAUCUAAAAAUAUAAAUAAAUAUGUAAAAUGCAACUACUGAAAUGCAUGUAUGUGCAUUAUUCAAAUAUAAAUCAAAUCGUUAUUAAAUCAUCGAAAUAGGAAUAAUAAUGUUUAGAUUUUAAUAAUAUUAAAUAAAUUCAUAUAUUUGCAAAUAAACGUAAGACGUAUGAAAUGUUUACUUAAAAAUACAAACAGAUAUGUAUAAAUUGUUCAAAAAAUAGAAACAUAUAAUAACUGUGUGAUUACAUCAAAUUAAUGCACAUUUGUUUUAACUGAUCGAUCGCUAAUCCUUGUCACGAAAGGUCUCACAUUUAAUCAUUUAAGGUGGUACCCAACACUUUCACUAAAAUUAAUUUGGCUCGUUUAAUUUUCAUAAAAUUUUGUCAAAAUAUUUACUUUGACCCUUUAACAAAAAUAUAAAAAUUAAAAAAAUUUUGAACCAACCGUUUUGUCAGAAAAAUUACACUGGUUAUAUAGCAGUUUGACAAACACCAAUUUUGAUCAUUGCGAUGCUUAAUAUUCCCUUUACAACACAACGUAAUUAAAACGUUAGCUGACUUUACAGAGUUAUCUCCCUGUAGUGUUAGGUACCACCUUAAAUACGUUAAAGGUGUAAUACCACCAAAUCAUGGCACGUCACAUUCGGUUGUAUACGAAAGUAGGUCUAAAAAAAUAUUCCCUUGAAUUUGACAGUUGUGGGUAAUUAAUCCUUCAUUUUAAUGCAGUAAAAACAUUUCUGUGUCAUAAACAUAUGUCUUGGGUAUUUCAAAACACCAUUACUUUUUAUUUGGGAUUUCUAUAGAAAAUUUUGUAAUCUUGAGGUUACAUGGUGACUAAACCUUGUACACAGAUAAAAAAAAAAGGGAGACAUUUGAUUGGUUAACUUCCAAUGAUGGUUAUUUUCUUAUAUGUAAUGAAAUGUUAUGUGAUUUUUUUUAUAGUACUGGACAAGAUAAAACUUUACUCAUGCCAAGUAUUUCUUUAUUUGAAACAAAGAUGAAUUCUGCACAUUUUUUGGAAAAGUGCAAAUUUAACAAAGACUAAUAGGGAAAAUCAAUUGUGGUAUUACACCUAAUAUGGAAAGCUGUACAUGCAUCUUUGACCUUGUGAGUAAUCUCAUGUGUUAAAAUUUUUUGCUAUUUAAGUGAAAUAUUACAAAAAAUUAAAUAUUCUGAGUGGAUCAAGUCUCCAAAAAACAUUUUAUGAGCAAAUUGUCUUGAAAUAGGACUGUACCAUGAAUAUUUAGUUGAUAGUCUUCUUUUUUUGGGGGGGGGGGGGGGUGUUUUCUCCUUAUUUCUAAUAUUCUGCUAUGAUAGAGCAUUAUCCUAGGAAAUACUUAAAUAAAUAUAUAGUUUUAAGUACAUGAAAUUAUUUUUAAUGAUGUAACGACAAAUUAUUCACUAAAAGAGACGCCUUUUAUAUUGCUGUCUGGAACGCGGCGUAAAUUUAAUUUUUACGUAAGGACUUAUUGAAAUCUCCUUGGAGACAGUAAACUUUUAUAUGGAUUGUUCAAUCUGCUAAAAUGCUUCAAUUACUCAUUUCUUAUAACAUUUCUACCAUAAAUGAGUGAAAGUUAGCCCAUUAUUUUUAUUUAUUGGCCUGAAAAGUUGAAAUUUAAGGAAAUAAGAGGUAUACAUUGACCAAAAGAGACCUUUUAAAGAAGACAAAGAGGUCCAUUAGUGCUAUUUAUCUUAAUAAUAUCAUCUUGUGUGUCAUAUUUAACUGUUUGUAGGCAGAUAAGAUAGAUAUUUGAUCAUUCAUUGGUCCACACUUUAUUCUAUCUUGAUGCGGCUUGGUUUGGAUUUGUCGAAGACAUUUUGCUCGAAUCGCUGUAGAUGUCGUCUUUCAUUAUACUAGAUUUUUCUCAAACUAUUGAACUGAUUAUGUCAAAACUUGACAGAAAUGCUUGAAAUAACCAGUAUAACAGAGGAAAAAAGUUUCAUUCAGUUUAUUGAACAAUAAUGUCUUCUUUAGGUGUAAUACCACCGAAUCAUAGUACGUCACAUCUGGUUGUAUACGAAAGUAGGUCUAAAAAAAUAUUCCCUUGAAUUUGACAGUUGAAGGUAAUUAAUCCUUCAUUUCAUUGCAGUAAAACAUUUCUGUGUCAUAAACAUAUGUCUUGGAUAUUUCAAAACACCAUUAUUUUUUAUUUGGAAUUUCUAUAGAAAAUUUUGUAAUCUUGAGGUUACAUGGUGACUAAACCUUGUACACAGAUAAAAAAGGGGAGACAUUUGAUUGGUUAACUUUCCAAUGAUGGUUAUAUUCUUAUAUGCAAUGAAAUGUUAUGUGAAUUUUUUUCUAUAGUACUGGACAGGAUAAAACUUUACUCAUGUCAAGUAUUUCUUUAAUUUGAAACAAAGAUAAAUUCUGCACAUUUUUUUGAAAAGUGCAACUUUAACAAAGACUAAUAGGGGAAAUCAAUGGUGGUAUUACACCUUAAAUACAUUUUGGGUCAUUGAUCAAUGAUCAUUCGAGGAUCUGUUGUCAAUCAGUACAGUUCUCAUACACAACUUAUGUGCAUUGGCAAAGAUGAAAAAGAGAAAAGAUCUUUCCUUAAUCUUUCCUUUGCCAACAAAGGUAUCGAUGGCGUCAACUUUGUUAAUAACACUUCUCUACGAAAUGUGUUAUCGAAAAGUCCGAAAUAUCGUGAGCCUAAAUCCAUCAAUUGGAAAUACAACUUUAACAUUUUGAUGGAUUCAGUUGAGGAUUAUGCCAGGCAAUGGGCCAAGCGCUAGAAGGAAGACGUAGACACUCUUUCCGAAUGGAUUAAGGCAGUGAGGUCGUUGAUACAAAUUAGAAUUAAGAAACUGAAUGGGUCUAUCAAUGCCCAUGCUACGUCAAUCUUUAAAGACCCAAAUGUUGCAAAACACCUAUACUACCUCCAUGACAAAUAUGUUGUUUUCCCCGCAGAUAAAGCUCCAAACAACAUCGUUUUUGUAUGUAAAACUCAUUACAUUAACUGCUUGAUAAACGAAUUAGGUAUUGACAAUUCACUUGGAAACUCAACAUAUACCCUCACGACACUUACCAAAGAGGAAAUCCUGGAUAAUCAUAGGUCUGUUCUGUGUUCCUUUGGAAUUUCAACCAAAGAUGAAGAACUGGAUCUGCCAUCAUUGUAUUGGAUACCUAAACUACAUAAGUGUCCUUACAAACAACGGUAUAUUGCUGGGUUUUCCAAAUGCUCCACGAAACCUUUUUCUAAAUUAUUAACAUCUAUUUUAUCAGCAAUCAAAGACGGGUUUUAAAGUUAUUGUGAAACUGCCUAUUCUAGAGGGGGCGUGAAUCAAUUGUGGAUACUUGAAAAUUCCAAAGAUCUUUUAGAGUACAUACAAUCUAACACUCUUUCAUCUUGUAACAGUAUUAAAACAUUUCACUUUUCUACUCUGUACACUAGUAUUCCACAUUCCAAACUGAAAGACAAAUUGAAAGAGUUGAUAUUGCUUUGCUUCGUAAAAAAGAAUGGCCAACGUAGAUACAAGUAUCUUGUCUUGGGGAGGGAUAAAUCCUACUUUGUAAAGGAUCACUCUGAUUCGAACAAAAAAUUCUCUGAAACUGAUAUUAUCAAGAUGCUUGAUUUCUUGAUUGACAACAUAUUUGUUACGUUCGGAGGACGUGUUUUUCAACAGACUGUCGGCAUUCCAAUGGGAACAAACUGUGCCCCUCUACUUGUCGACUUGUUUCUUUAUUAUUAUGAGGCUGACUUCAUGCAGGAACUUCUUAGGAAGAAAGAUAAGAAGUUAGCAAUAUCCUUUAACUCUUACUUUUCGCUAUAUAGAUUAUGAUGUUCUUUCACUAAAUAAUUCACAAUUUGGUGACUACGUGGAACGCAUCUAUCCAAUCGAGCUAGAGAUAAAGGAUACUGCAGAUACAGUUAAGUCGGCCUCAUAGCUCGACUUACAUCUAGAAAUUGACAAUGAGGGUCGGUUGAAAACAAAACUUUACGACAAAAGAGAUGAUUUCAGCUUUCCAAUUGUGAACUUUCCAUUUCUAAGUAGCAACAUUCCAGCAGCACCUACAUACGGGGUAUAUAUCUCCCAAUUGAUACGAUAUUCCCGUGCUUGCAUUUCCUAUCAUGAUUUUCUUGAUAGAUGGUUGCUGCUCACAAGGAAGCUAUUAAACCAAGAGUUCCAAAUGGUGAAGUUGAAAUCAUCUCUUCGUAAAUUUUACGGACGCCAUCACGAGUUGGUUGACCGUUAUGGAAUAACCGUUUCACCAAUGAUAUCGGAUAUGUUCCUUACGUCGUAACUACAAUCCCCUUCCCUUUCAUGAAUGUGACCUACCGAAUUAGACUAUUUACCGGAUUUGUUAUCACAUAAGCAACACGACGGGUGCCGCACGUGGAGCAGGAUCUGCUUACCCUUCCGGAGCACCUGAGAUCACCCCUAGUUUUUUGGUGGGGUUCGUGUUGUUUAUUCUUUAGUUUUCUAUGUUGUGUCGUGUGUGCAGUUGUUUGUUUGUCUUUUUCAUUUUUAACCAUGGCGUUGUCAGUUUGUUUUAGAUUUAUGAGUUUGACUGUCCCUUUGGUAUCUUUCGUCCCUCUUUUACAUUUCACUGUUUAUCUGAUUUUUCUUCUAAAAACCAUGUAUUCCCAUAAAUUCUGAAAAUCUGUCACGAAGAAAGACAUUGUACGCCCCUUAUUUGAUCUAUUAACUCAAACGUAUUCGAUAGAUUUUGCAAGGAAAGAGAUGAACAUGAAAUCCUAGUUUUUGUUAAGUGUGUAGUUAUACAGUCACAAUAUAUAACACGCAUUUUUACAACGGAAAUAAAACUUUAUUUUAGGACUAUUUUUGUCACAAUACAUAUGUAUGCAUGUACGUAUGCACUAUCAAUGAGAAAGAAAAUGAAAAUGUUUUCUGUCUAUAAAUAUCACCACUCAAGUUAUUUGAUUUGAUAUCCGGUGAAUAUGGCUUAUCUAAAUAUUAUGUAGAUAUUUAUUUCAAAAGUCGUUAUGAAUGCAUAAUAAGUUAUAGUAAAAGGACGGAAAUCAAGCAAGAUCAUGUUCAUAGGUUCAAUGAUUACUACAUAUAUAUGAUUAUCAACAGAUUAAGACAUUUAUACAGUCAUGUAUGCUAAGUAAUAUUUAUUUUUUUUAUAUCCUGAUAUAUUAGACAAACAUGAGUGAUAAUAACAGAAAAUUUGGGGUUUUCUCCAAUGCUACAGGAACUCAGGAACAAAAAUAUAUUUAUAUUAGAUAUAGACAGUAUUUAAGGUAUAUACAAUAUAUCAGGUUUGUGAAUAACUCUACGUUUAAAAAAAUAGGAAUAAUGCUUUACAAAUGUAAAUAAGAUAAAUCAGAUGAAACAUUAGAAUUGAUUAAUAUUAUAUGUCCAUGUCUGGAUUUAAAUACUGUCAAAAGUUAUCAAAGGUACCAGGAUUAUAAUUUUGUACGCCAGACGCGCGUUUUGUCUACACAAGGCUCAUCAGUGACGCUCAUAUUAAAAUAUUUAUAAAGCCAAACAAGUACAAAGUUGAAGGGCAUUGAGGAUCCAAUUGAUACUGUAAGAAAUAUAUAUUUCAAUGCAACUGUUAAACUUACGCGUAUAAACAAAAUAUGAUACUGUACCUAUAUCUGAAAGCAGUCAUCAUGACACAUUCCACUAAAUAUAUAACAACAAUUAUCAAACCAUCGUGUUCGGUUAUUUCAUCGGAGAUUCAAAUUAAAUGUCUUUUUUUAAAUGACGACAGAUAUAAACUUCAUGUAUCCGAUUUUAACUCUUAUGAGAAAAGAGGUUGCUUACAAAAGACAAAAGCAAAUUAUACUUAUAUAUGUAUAAGCCUAUGCCACCCAAUUUGAUUUUCAUAUUAAGAAAAUUAUGGCGAACAGUUUCGUUUUUUAAUGUAAUUUGAAAAAGAAUAAAAGGAGACCAUGCACUAUAUAAAUUAGGUUGUAAAAAGUAAAAUCACAAAAAUGCUGGCAAAAUCAAAAGCUAAAACACAUCAAACGAAUGGAUAACAACUGUCAUAUUCCUGACUUGGUAAAGGCAUUUUCUUAUGUAGAAAAUGGUGGAUAAAAACUGGUAUUAUAGCUAGCUAGCUAAACCUCUCAAUUGUAUGACAGUCGAUUAAAAUUCCAUUAUAUUGACAACGAUGUGUGUACAAACAAAACAGCUUAAUAGGUAAAAAUUAAAAAAAAAAUAAGUGGCCCAACUGUCAAUAUAUUGUUAUAAUCUUAAUCACUUUAAAAACAAGCAAAUAUGUAAAAAAAGAAGCACACACAGGCAUAUAGACAGAGCACAUAAGCAAAAAUCAAAGACAAGAAUACAAAAAUUUACCAUAGCACAAUAACACAAUGCCAGGAUGCAUAAGUACAGAGCCACGUCAAAUGGAUAUCCCAAAAACAGACUAAACAGUAAAAGUAAUAUCCAUACAGACAAAGAAAAAAAUAAUAUAACACUUUAUGAAGAUAAUAAACAACGUCAGUACCAAGAAUCUAUAUUGCAAGACCAUCGUGUAUUAUUUGUGAAGUUGAAACGGAAUGUUUAUCAACAAGGUCUUGGUACCUUCGAUGAACUCUUUUAGGAAAAGGACGAGACGUUCUUUGACAUAUCCCUGGUUCAUCAACUUUCUCCUCAGACACUGGUGACGUUUUACAAAGUCUGAGUAGAGGCUACAAGCUCUAGAAUACCGAAUUAGUUGGGGAAUGUAUAUCUCAUAUGCAGGUGAUUGGAAUAUUGCUUCUAAGGUUAUGGGAAAUUGAACCCAAUCGGUAAAAAAAAUGUUCACAAGUUAAAAGAAUUGAACAGAAAGUGCCUGUUUUUACAAGUAGAUGUGGUAUGAGUGCCAAUGAGACAACUCGCCAUCCAUGCCACAAUUCGUAACAGUAAACCAUUAUAGGUCAAAGUACGGCCUUCAACACGGAACCUCGGCUCAUAACGAACAGCAAGCUAUACAGGACCCCAAAAAAUGACCAGUGUAAUACCAUUCAAACCGAAAAACCAACGAUAUAAUCUAUUUAAAAAAUGAGAAACGAGAAACACUUAUGAACCACAUCAACGAACGACAACCACUGAGCAUCAGGUUUCUGACUUCAGUAUAAAUUACCAAUUCAAUAGAACAUUAUUUAUGUUUGAAUUCAAAAAGCUUUUGACAUGUUUGAAGUCACCAAUGUAGACUUAUCAUCAAUCAAGCUGAUGACUUAUCUGAAGUUUUCAAUUCCACAGAUUAAUUGCUUUGGAAAUGUCAUUUUCAACUUUUAUGUCUGUUUGUUUUGUUUACCCAUUGUUGUCAAUCUAAUGGAAUUAUAGACGCUAUUAUACAAUCGAGAGGUUUAUCUAGCUAUACAACUAAGUUUAAUCCACCAUUUUCGACAUAAAGAAAUGUAUGUACUUAGUCAUAAAUAGUUGUUUUCCAUUCCUUUGAUUUAAUUUUGAAAUUUGAUAGAUGACUUUUCAUUUAGAAUAUUCCUUAAAGUUCGGUAUUUUUAUUAUUUUACUUUUUGCAUAAUCGCUGGAACUAUUUCGGUGAUAUCCAUCGAGAAAGUUCCUAAGUGAAAAAAAUAUUACUCACAAAAUGAAGAAAUAAUAAGGGUUAUAAUCAUUGAAUGAUAACCAAUCAGAAAUAAGGCAAUCAUUUCGGGCGAUAAUACUGUAUAUUCACCAUCAAUAACAGGUUCAAAGAACACACAUAGUUAAAUUUUCUUCAUUUGUUUCUAUUUGUCGUUUUAAAUAAUGGAUGCCUUCUGAUCUUAUAGCUUAAGCCACUUUUAUCACAUUAAAAUUGUUACGUCACAUUAUUAUUUUACUCUUUUUUUUAGAAACACAAUUCUGUCUGUCUUAUGUCUGUUAAUAUACAUUGUAUAUUCAUAAUGUAACUACAAAAUCUCAUUAAAUAGGUAAGACACCAUUCCUAAUAUCAAUGAUGUGUGUCCCUUCAAUUCUUGUAUGUUUUCAUUUGCAAAUGGAUGAUUCAACACAUAUGUUUAUAAAAGGGUCUAGAUAGUCCAAUCAUUUCUUCUUGCAUUUUACAGAUUAUCGUAAACAGUCUCGCUGAGAAAAAUAUCAACUGCUCAUCUCGAGAAAAUGUAUAGUACUUAAUACUUUCAAGCAUAAGUAUUUAUUUUUUCUUACCUGAGCAGUUUUAUGAACAACUAUGAGGAACAGCUGAGAUUACAGGUGCGCAACAGUUUGCUAUAAAUGAGUAAACAAAUGUCUUUCUAUAAAUAAGAAAUACUACCAAUCGUACGUGUAUUUAUGUAUUUCAAUAAAGGUAAGAAUUUUAUUAUUCAGUUGAGAAACAACAAUAUAUUUGUCUGUUUACUAUGUAACAUUAUAAAACACUAUUCCUCCUCAAAACCGUUGUAAGUUUACAUAGAACAUAGUUUCGCCUCUUUUACAUUCAUAUGAAUGCCCUAUUUGCUACUGAUAUGUGUCUAUUUUACGAACGAUAAACUGCUUUCGUCUUAAUUUAAAUAUGCGAACUUAAAGAAAAUUCAAACGAAAAACUACAUAAUAGCCGGAAUUUCGAGGAAUUUCGCCAAAAAAGAGAAAAGAAAUACUGUUAUGGCAAGACAAGAGAAGACAAAAUAUUUGAUUUCCUCAUAAAACAAACGUGUACAAGAGGUCACAGACAGCUACUAAAAACACAAAUUAGUCUUUAGGCUCCUGACCUUGUUGAGACGGACAGAGCAUGAUUGGUUGUACAUAUAUUGAUAUUGACUUCCAAAGUUCUGCAAUCAAUAGAAGUUCUAAAAACGGCAAACAAAAUAGAGACACGCACAGACCUCAAAACUGUAAUGUCUCGAAUCUAAGUUGUUAUUUUAAAACAAAAAUAUUUUGUAUUAUGUUUCGUCAACUAGUAAUGUCUGUGUAAUAACAUCUUUGUGUUUUUCAAAUGAGGUUUUAAUUAACAUAGAAAUUCCUCAUUUCUUUGAGGAUUACAGCAUAAAAUUCUGAUAAUUCUAAUUACACGAAAUUGCCAUGCUUCAAGUGUUCUGUAUGUAGAAUAUUUGCAUUAAAGCAAUACCAAUAUAUAUUUCACCUACAAGUGGAAAAAGAGUUCACAGAUUUGUUUUAAAGCUGAUAAAUCUCAACGACUUCCAAAAUAAGUAUAUGAGAUGCAAUUAUAAAACAAAAAGAGUUCUGAAAACAUAGUUUUAUUCUAUUGAAAUCUUGAAUAAUUUUAUGUAUAUUUCCAUUAUUAGAGACAACGUCUUAAGUAUCGACCGCAUAAUAUGUAAUCAAUAUAAAUCGUUUGUAUAUUCUCGGUAAAUAUAUCAGACAAAUAAAAUAAUUCUUUUCAUAAUUCAAGUAACUUUUCUUCUUAUUUUAUCUUGAUCUUCAUUUUUUCGUCAUGGUCAUUUGUGACAAAAUGUACAAUUAAGCGGGACACUUUUAUCAACAAAUAAAGUUUCAGCUUUCAUUUCACAUAUCAUUUAAGAACACGUAUCCAAAUUUAUUUAUUUUUUAAUCUGUAAGAUUUUCUAUCAAUUCAGUAUAUCUGGC